rnacentral:rRNA from 1 species
CGUAGGGUGCAAGCGUUGUCCGGAAUUAUUGGGCGUAAAGAGCUCGUAGGCGGUCUGUCACGUCGGAAGUGAAACUCGGGGCUCAACCCCGAGCCUGCUUUCGAUACGGGCAGACUUGAGGAAUGUAGGGGAGAACGGAAUUCCUGGUGGAGCGGUGGGAUGCGCAGAUAUCAGGAGGAACACCAGUGGCGAAGGCGGUUCUCUGGACAUUAACUGACGCUGAGGAGCGAAAGCGUGGGGAGCAAACAGGCUU